UACGGAGGGUGCGAGCGUUGUCCGGAUUUAUUGGGUUUAAAGGGUGCGUAGGCGGCUUAUUAAGUCAGGGGUGAAAGACGGUGGCUCAACCAUCGCAGUGCCUUUGAUACUGAUGAGCUUGAAUACACUAGAGGUAGGCGGAAUGUGACAAGUAGCGGUGAAAUGCAUAGAUAUGUCACAGAACACCAAUUGCGAAGGCAGCUUACUAUGGUGUCAUUGACGCUGAGGCACGAAAGCGUGGGGAUCAAACAGG
rnacentral:rRNA from 1 species